UGCGCAGGCGGGUUUGUAAGUCAGUGGUGAAAUCCUGCCGCUUAACGGUAGAAUUGCCAUUGAUACUGCGAAUCUUGAGUAUGGUUGAGGUAGGCGGAAUGUGUAGUGUAGCGGUGAAAUGCAUAGAUAUUACAUAGAACUCCGAUUGCGAAGGCAGCUUACUAAGCCAUAACUGACGCUGAGGCACGAAAGCGUGGGGAGCGAACAGGAUUAGAUACCCUGGUAGUCC
rnacentral:rRNA from 1 species